rnacentral:tRNA from 1 species
CCUGUGGAUAUAGUUCACUUGGUAGAAUUCUGGCUUAGUAUGCAUGUAGCUCUGGGUUUGAUUCCCAGCACAGCA